AUAUAGCAUCUUUCUGUCUCGCCCAUCCCGUUGCUCCAAUAUUCUAACAACAAGUGAUUAUUGAGCAAUGCGCAUGUGCGGGAUAGACUGAUGGCUGC
rnacentral:pre_miRNA from 15 species